UGCGAGUCGAGCGGUAAGGCUCCUUCGGGAGUACACGAGCGGCGAACGGGUGAGUAACACGUGAGCAAUCUGCCCUUCUCAUCGGAAUAACCAUUGGAAACGAUGGCUAAUGCCGAAUACGACCUCCCUUCGCAUGUUGGGAGGUGGAAAGCUCCGGCGGAGAAGGAUGAGCUCGCGGCCUAUCAGCUUGUUGGCGGGGUAACGGCCCACCAAGGCAACGACGGGUAGCCGGCCUGAGAGGGUGACCGGCCACACUGGGACUGAGACACGGCCCAGACUCCUACGGGAGGCAGCAGUGGGGAAUAUUGGACAAUGGGCGAAAGCCUGAUCCAGCAACGCCGCGUGAGGGAUGACGGCCUUCGGGUUGUAAACCUCUUUCAGCAGGGACGAAGCGAAAGUGACGGUACCUGCAGAAGAAGGACCGGCCAACUACGUGCCAGCAGCCGCGGUAAUACGUAGGGUCCGAGCGUUGUCCGGAAUUAUUGGGCGUAAAGGGCUCGUAGGCGGUCUGUCGCGUCGGGAGUGAAAACUCAGGGCUUAACCCUGAGCGUGCUUCCGAUACGGGCAGACUAGAGGGAUGCAGGGGAGAACGGAAUUCCUGGUGUAGCGGUGGAAUGCGCAGAUAUCAGGAGGAACACCGGUGGCGAAGGCGGUUCUCUGGGCAUUACCUGACGCUGAGGAGCGAAAGCAUGGGGAGCGAACAGGAUUAGAUACCCUGGUAGUCCAUGCCGUAAACGUUGGGCGCUAGGUGUGGGGACCUUCCACGGUCUCC
rnacentral:rRNA from 1 species